rnacentral:rRNA from 1 species
UUCGGAUUGCAGGCUGCAACCCGCCUGCAUGAAGUUGGAAUCGCUAGUAAUCGCGGAUCAGCAUGCCGCGGUGAAUACGUUCCCGGGCCUUGUACACACCGCCCGUCACACCAUGAGAGUCGGGAACACCCGAAGUCCGUAGUCUGACCGCAAGGGGGACGCGGCCGAAGGUGGGUUCGAUAAUUGGGGUGAAGUCGUAACAAGGUAAC